AAUGAACGUUGGCGGCGUGGAUUAGGCAUGCAAGUCGUACAAAAACCUCAAAUAGCUUGCUAGGAGAGGGGACAGUGGCAAAAGGGAGAGUAACGCGUGGUUACAUGCCCUCGAGUUCGGGAUAGUAACGGGAAACUGUUAGUAAUACCGAAUAAUAUCCUUGGAUCAAGGGUGUGAUUCCGCUCGAGGAUUGGACCGCGUACUAUUACCUUGUUGGUGAGGUAAUGGCUCACCAAGGCUGCGAUGGUUACCGGGUGUGAAAGCAUGGCCCGGCUCACUGGGACUGAAACACUGCCCAAACACCUACGGGUGGCUGCAGUCAAGAAUCUUUGGCAAGGGGCGAAAGCCUGACCAAGCGACGCCGCGUGCGGGAUGAAGGCCCUCGGGUUGUAAACCGCUGUCAAAAGCUAGGAAAUGUUAGGGGGUACUCCCCUUAACUUGACCGAUCUUCAAAGGAAGGACGGGCUAAGUUCGUG
rnacentral:rRNA from 1 species